GUCGCCACGCCCCUGGGCGUGUCCUUAACAGGAAGUGGCCCCGCUCUGGGUGCAGCUCGCAUUGGGGGCGGAGCCGCCCCGGGGUGUGACUGGCCUCUGCACGUGGCCCAAGGCCAGACCGACCUCCUCUGGAAAAAGCCUCCCUUUGCUCCUACUUCCCGCCAGAGGUUUUCGAGCCCCUUUGCGUCUGCCAGCCAGACUGUGGUGAGUUUUGAUGAAGGAAGUUGCUGUGUCAGAGAAACCCACGUGACCAGGAACCAGCGAACUCCCACCCAGGGCCAACAGGGUAUUGAGGACCUCAUGCCAACAGGCUUGAGAGAUGCAUCCUGCCAACAACUGACCCCUGAGCAGGGUCAAAUAAAGGGCCCCAGGAUAAAACUGAGAAGGCCACUGUCAAGCUUCUUACAAGGGACCAGUAUGGAUGUAGAAGCCCAAAGAGAAAAUCGAAGCGCCUGGGUGACUCAGUAGGUGAAGCAUCCGGAGGAUCGAAAGGUCAGAAGAUCAAGUUCUUCAUCGAGCUGUGCACUGAGCAUAGAGCCUGCUUGAGAUUCAGUCUCUCUCUUCCCUCUCCCUACUGUGUGUGCUUUUUCUCUCUCUUAAGUAAAAUAAAAUGUUUUUUAACACACAGUAAUUGUGCAAAAAAAAAAAAAAAUGGUGAGAAAAUGGAAUCAUAUAUAAUGCUUGCUGAAAACCAGAAACACUAAAUGAAAAUUACACUAAAUGAAAUUUACAAUAAUUUACACUAAACGAAAAUUAAAAUACAACUUAAUCAGGGUGCUUGGGUGGCUCAGGUGGUUAAGUGACUGCCUUCAGCUCAGAUCAUGGGCUCAUGGCUUGUGAGUUUCAGCUCGGAG